AUGAACGCUGGCGGCGUGCCUAAUACGUGCAAGUCGAGCGAACGGACGAGAAGCUUGCUUCUCUGAUGUUAGCGGCGGACGGGUGAGUAACACGUGGAUAACCUACCUAUAAGACUGGGAUAACUUCGGGAAACCGAACUAAUACCGGAUGAUAUUUUGAACCGCAUGGUUCAAAAGUGAAAGACGGUCUUGCUGUCACUUAUAGAUGGAUCCGCGCUGCAUUAGCUAGUUGGUAAGGUAACGGCUUACCAAGGCAACGAUGCAUAGCCGACCUGAGAGGGUGAUCGGCCACACUGGAACUGAGACACGGUCCAGACUCCUACGGGAGGCAGCAGUAGGGAAUCUUCCGCAAUGGGCGAAAGCCUGACGGAGCAACGCCGCGUGAGUGAUGAAGGUCUUCGGAUCGUAAAACUCUGUUAUUAGGGAAGAACAUAUGUGUAAGUAACUGUGCACAUCUUGACGGUACCUAAUCAGAAAGCCACGGCUAACUACGUG
rnacentral:rRNA from 1 species